rnacentral:rRNA from 2 species
UGGGCGUAAGCGCGCGCAGGCGGUUUCUUAAGUCUGAUGUGAAAGCCCACGCCUCUACCGUGGAGGGUCAUUGGAAACUGGGGAACUUGAGUGCCCAAGAGAAAAGCGGAAUUCCACGUGUAGCGGUGAAAUGCGUAGAGAUGUGGAGGAACACCAGUGGCGAAGGCGGCUCUUUGGUCUGUAACUGACGCUGAGGCGCGAAAGCGUGGGGAGCAAACAGGAUUAGAUACCCUGGUAGUCCACGCCGUAAACGAUGAGUGCUAAGUGUUAGAGGGUUUCCGCCCUUUAGUGCUGCAGCUAACGCAUUAAGCACUCCGCCUGGGGAGUACGGUCGCAAGACUGAAACUCAAAGGAAUUGACGGGGGCCCGCACACAGCGGUGGAGCAUGUGGUUUAAUUC